GUAGACGCUACGGACUUAUGAAAAUCCGUUGGCUUUAAAGACCGUGAGGGUUCAAGUCCCUCUACCCCCA
rnacentral:tRNA from 1 species